rnacentral:rRNA from 1 species
UACAGAGGUCCCAAGCGUUGUCCGGAUUCACUGGGCGUAAAGGGUGCGCAGGUGGGUUGGCAAGUUUGAUGUGAAAGCCCCGGGCUUAACCCGGGAAUGGCAUUGAAUACUGCUGAUCUGGAGGAUCGGAGGGGGGACUGGAAUUCUUGGUGUAGCAGUGAAAUGCGUAGAUAUCAAGAGGAACACCAGUGGCGAAGGCGAGUCCCUGGACGAUACCUGACACUGAGGCACGAAAGCCAAGGGAGCAAACAGG